UACGGGGGGGGCAAGCGUUGUUCGGAAUCAUUGGGCGUAAAGGGCGCGUAGGUGGUUCUGUAUGUCUACCGUGAAAGCAUACAGCUCAACUGUAUUUUGUCGGUAGAAACUGCAGGACUUGAGGGUGGGAGGGGCUGGUGGAAUUCCCUGUGUAGCGGUGAAAUGCGUAGAGAUGCGGAGGAACACCGAUGGCGAAGGCAGCCCCCUGGGCCGACAUUGACGCUCAGGCACGAAAGCGUGGGGAGCAAACAGG
rnacentral:rRNA from 1 species